rnacentral:rRNA from 1 species
UACAGAGGUCCCAAGCGUUACUCGGAAUUACUGGGCGUAAAGCGUGCGUAGGUGGUGAGUUAAGUCUGUCGUGAAAGCCCCGGGCUCAACCUGGGAAUGGCGAUGGAUACUGGCUCGCUAGAGUGCGGUAGAGGAGAGUGGAAUUCCCGGUGUAGCAGUGAAAUGCGUAGAGAUCGGGAGGAACAUCAGUUGCGAAGGCGGCUCUCUGGACCAGCACUGACACUGAGGCACGAAAGCCAGGGGAGCGAACGGG